rnacentral:rRNA from 1 species
CUCUAGGGAGACUGCCGUCGACAAGACGGAGGAAGGUGGGGAUGACGUCAAAUCAUCAUGCCCCUUAUGUCCUGGGCUACACACGUGCUACAAUGGAUGGAACAACGGGCAGCCAACUCGCGAGAGUGCGCCAAUCCCUUAAAACCAUUCUCAGUUCGGAUUGCAGGCUGCAACUCGCCUGCAUGAAGCCGGAAUCGCUAGUAAUCGCGGAUCAGCAUGCCGCGGUGAAUACGUUCCCGGGUCUUGUACACACCGCCCGUCACACCACGAGAGUUUGCAACACCCGAAGUCGGUGAGGUAACCGCAAGGAGCCAGCCGCCGAAGGUGGGGCAGAUGAUUGGGGUGAAGUCGUAACAAGGUAUCCGUACCGGAAGGUGCGGAUGGAUCACCUCCUUU